UGUAGUUCAGUGGUAGAGUGCUUGCCUUGCAUGCAUGAGGCACUGGGUUCAAUUCUUAGCA
rnacentral:tRNA from 1 species